rnacentral:rRNA from 1 species
AUUGAACGCUGGCGGCAUGCCUUAUACAUGCAAGUCGAACGGCAGCACGGGAGCAAUCCUGGUGGCGAGUGGCGAACGGGUGAGUAAUAUAUCGGAACGUGCCCAGUCGUGGGGGAUAACGCAGCGAAAGCUGUGCUAAUACCGCAUACGAUCUAUGGAUGAAAGCGGGGGAUCGCAAGACCUCGCGCGAUUGGAGCGGCCGAUAUCAGAUUAGGUAGUUGGUGGGGUAAAGGCCCACCAAGCCGACGAUCUGUAGCUGGUCUGAGAGGACGACCAGCCACACUGGAACUGAGACACGGUCCAGACUCCUACGGGAGGCAGCAGUGGGGAAUUUUGGACAAUGGGCGCAAGCCUGAUCCAGCAAUGCCGCGUGCAGGAUGAAGG